UCUCCCUUAUGGUUGUUAUCUAUGAAGCAGGAAUGUCUGGGGCUAUAGAUAGCGCUGGGGCCUCAGCAUUAUAAAUGUCCAGAACAAGCCAUUUUUUAAGACCUGAAUAUUAAGCAUCUAAAAAUAUGUCUACAAGGGGAAUUCUCGGAGUGCUCUGUAGCUCAUGUCACGAACCCAACGCCAAAAGCUUGGAGGAUAUUUUGGUAAAGGCUCCCGAAUGUUUUAACGGAUUUCUGUGUACAAGCGAGGGCCAUAUUUCGUACAUAUUCAACCCGGAGGAAUCUACGGUUAAGAUAUUCACAGACAGCGUGUCCCAACCCUUUUAUCGUGCAGAACCCGAGCCUUUUUCUCUAGCGCUAAGGAUGCGAGAAUGGCUUAAAAUAAGGCUAGCUUUGUGUCAAAUGGAACGUGCCAUGAGUGCUUCAAGGCUGCCAGGAUAUGCGUUGGAAGAACAAGUCUGUGGACGUCAGGAUCUAAUGGCCCUGAGAGUCACAUCCAUGGGGUAUACCCCGGACUCCAGAGUGACAAUUUUAGCAUGUGAACAAUUUGACAGGUCAAAUGCUACGAAAACGGUCAGUCCAUAUGUAUCCUCCAAAGCAUGCAAGGAUGUACAUUUUUUUCAAAUAAUGUUCAGUUUUAAAUGGCGCGAUUACCACAUUUUCCGAACCCUGAUGAAUAAGCUGGACAGUCUUUUCGAAAAUCGUGAACAAUUACGGCGAUGGCCUAGGUUAUCGUUGAGACAUACCCCGGAACAACAUAGGUUAUCGUUGAGACAUACACCGGAACAACAACAAGUUCGAAGGCGGAUCUUUCCCUGGCAGGAAAGUGGACAGAGCUUCGACGGAGCGCGGAAAAGACUUUGUGAUGGGGAAUUGGAAACGGAUAAUGUUCAGGGCUAACAGGACCCCAUAUAUCUGAUCCCCGACAUUUACGCAGCUUUUACGCGAUUUACCUGAUCUGGAACAUGAUGGGGGUUCGCAGGAGCAAAAGUCUGGCAGACAAUCACCAACGGCCUUUUUUCGUUCCGACAUACAGCCCUUUAUGAUAAAGGAUGCGUUAUGGACAGCUGACACGCAGGACUUUGAUGCAAUUCUACCGUUCACUGUGGCCCAAGUACACUGCUCAGAAUCAAGCCCACCCGAAAACUACUGUUGGGCCGGGAACUUGCUGCUUCACGAGCCGGCGCUCCAGGGACAAGACUGCCCGGAGACAGACCCAGCAGAAUCUGGAACGCUAGAGGGAAAAAGUCACACACCCCCGGUUUCGGCGAUUCGUCACAACAAGCGCCAA